rnacentral:rRNA from 1 species
AUUGAACGCUGGCGGCAGGCCUAACACAUGCAAGUCGAGCGGAUGACGGGAGCUUGCUCCUUGAUUCAGCGGCGGACGGGUGAGUAAUGCCUAGGAAUCUGCCUGGUAGUGGGGGACAACGUUUCGAAAGGAACGCUAAUACCGCAUACGUCCUACGGGAGAAAGCAGGGGACCUUCGGGCCUUGCGCUAUCAGAUGAGCCUAGGUCGGAUUAGCUAGUUGGUGGGGUAAUGGCUCACCAAGGCGACGAUCCGUAACUGGUCUGAGAGGAUGAUCAGUCAAACUGGAACUGAGACACGGUCCAGACUCCUACGGGAGGCAGGAGUGGGGAAUAUUGGACAAUGGGCGAAAGCCUGAUCCAGCCAUGCCGCGUGUGUGAAGAAGGUCUUCGGAUUGUAAAGCACUUUAAGUUGGGAGGAAGGGCAGUAAGCUAAUAUCUUGCUGUUUUGACGUUACCGACAGAAUAAGCACCGGCUAACUCUGUGCCAGCCGCCGCCGUAA